AGGCCCUCCGGUACAGCAUUGACUAGAAGUGAUGACAGUGGGAAUUUUCAUCAUUCCUCAGUUCUAGAACUUCCAUUGGAUCUUUUUAAUUUGGGGGCCAAGAUGGCGGAGCAGCAUGGAAAUCCUUGGCUCUUCCCGUCCCUGAAAUACAGCUAGAUCAGCACCAAACCAUCUUACACACCUAGGAAACUGAUCUGAGGAUUGACACAACAACGUGCAUAACUUGGGCCACAGAACUUGGCAGCUGUACUCUCCUGUUAUUAUACAAGAACCCUACUGAUGUGGUGGCGAGGUAUGAGGGAUAGCAAGCAUCCUGUGGUCCUUCGUUGAGGCCUCAGCCUUUCCGUGAGCCUGGGUUGGAUGUUUCUCUCCCUCUGGGCUUUGGUAAAGCCUCAACUGGUAAGACUUUGGUAAAUAAUUGCUCUUGAAGGGCAGGCCUCGUUAAUGAGAAUAGAAUGUUUUCCCUUCCUCCUUUUGGAAGCAAUAGGAGAUUUUGCUCUGAACGCUACAGUGAGAACCUGGCAGGACUCUGGGAGGUAAAACUCACAAAAGUGUGAGCAAACUCCUAAGACUGGGUCCCAUUAGAGUUGUGGCUGAUUCUCAAGUCUGUCUACACUGAGCCUCUAGCAACUAGUCAAUUACAGCUCUUAAAGUGUUGCUACAAAUAUUGGCUGCAGCCCCAGGCUUCUGCUUUUGGGCCUCUGCUCUGCAUGAGCUGUGAGUUUUUGUAUUUGCCUGUCUGUCCCUCCGGUUCUGGGGACAGCUGUUUGCUUUGUGACCUCAAUUUUCUGAUGGAUCUAACAAGACGUGUUGAUCUUUAGUUCGCUCAGCUUUUGUUUUCUUGUUGUGAGCAUGGUAGCGAUGAUUUCUAACUUCUUUACACGUUAGACCGGAAACAAGAAGUUAGCCUUUUUCAGUACAUCUUAGUUUGAGGCCUGAGAUUUGCACCCACUGUAGACUGACGGCUGCAAGUAUUGUCCGAAACUCCCUGGCAACUAUUCAAUUCAUGAAAGGGACUCCCCAGACCUAGUUUAUAGGAACCUGAGGCAGAGGGAUGAUAGACCGGACCUUACAUCUACAUGGCAAAGGUGUAGGGAACCAGCAAGGCAAUCUUGAGAUGGAACCUGGGUCUCCUCUCCCUGACCAGGCUUCCCUGGAUAUAACUGGGAAUUUUGGGGGGGGGGGGUGUCUGAGGACAUCCUUUUGUAUUCCACUAGAGCGUACACUGAGAGUAGAAGUUAGGCUGAGUGCUAAAAUAGCGGCCCAGUGUCCCCCUGCCUGCUAUGCGUUUGCAAUGGUUGACAUGCAUGAAGGAAGAGCCUUUCAUGGGAAACAUUACUUUGUGCAGAUUUCUGGGGAGAAAAUGGUAUAUACCACUUGUU